UCCAGUUUUUGUCAAAUUUAGCCAUAAAAAGCAGAGAAGCGACGCCGCAAAGACAGAAAUCAAUCACGACGAUCCAAUAAAAUGAAUAAAUGAAGAACAUUAACUGUGAAAAAGUAUUAAUAUUACCUUGUUGGAGGGGCGGGGCGGUAAUGGUAGAUGACCAUAUAAGGACUUCCUUUGGAUCAGCGCGGAGCUCUGGCAAACAUUGAUCCACAGAAGAGGCUUUCUCCAACAGAAAUGAUCCAUUUGAAGCCGAUGAUUCAGAGCUGCUCCUAGAAAGCAGAAACCUGCCUGCAGCAAGAAUAACAAGAGAUGCUGAUAAUAAGUCAAUAAUUCAGAUAUCAAAUGUAAACACUUUGUGUUUUUGUUUUUUAAUAAAUGUUUAGUUUGGAAUAAA